AGCGAACGUUUGCGGCGGGCUUAACACAUGCAAGUUGAACGGGCUGUUCCUUCGGGGGCAGUCAGUGGCGCACGGGUGCGUAACACGUAGGUAAUCAACCCUCUGGUUGGGGAUAACACUUCGAAAGGAGUGCUAAUACCCGGUAUGGCGCAGCGGUCUUCGGAUCGCGGCGAGAAAGACCCGCAAGGGUUGCCAGAGGACGAGCCUGCGGCCCAUCAGCUAGUUGGCGAGGUAACGGCUCACCAGGGCGAAGACGGGUAGCUGGUCUGAGAGGAUGAUCAGCCACACUGGAACUGAGACACGGUCCAGACUCCUACGGGAGGCAGCAGUGGGGAAUAUUGCGCAAUGGGCGAAAGCCUGACGCAGCCACGCCGCGUGAGCGAUGAAGGCCUCGGGUCGUAAAGACUCUGUGGGAGGAGAAGAAUAAAGACCUGUGAAGAGCAGGCCUUGACGGUAGUCUCCUUAGCAAGCACCGGCUAACUCCGU
rnacentral:rRNA from 1 species